rnacentral:rRNA from 1 species
UACGUAGGGGGCGAGCGUUGUCCGGAAUCAUUGGGCGUAAAGCGCGUGUAGGCGGCUCGAUAAGUCCGGUGUGAAACCUUGGGGCUCAACCCUAAGCCUGCACUGGAUACUGCCGAGCUAGAGUCCGGGAGGGGAGAGCGGUAUUCCUAGUGUAGCGGUGAAAUGCGCAGAUAUUAGGAAGAACACCGGUGGCGAAGGCGGCUCUCUGGAACGGUACUGACGCUGAGACGCGAAAGCGUGGGGAGCGAACAGG